GGCCGGGUAGCUCAGUCGGUAGAGCAUGGGAUUGAAAAUCUCAGUGUCGGCGGUUCGAUUCCGUCCCCGGCCA
rnacentral:tRNA from 1 species